UGCCAGCCGCCGCGGUAAUACGGAGGGUGCAAGCGUUGUUCGGAAUUAUUGGGCGUAAAGCGCGUGUAGGCGGUUCGUUAAGUCUGAUGUGAAAGCCCGGGGCUCAACCCCGGAAGUGCAUUGGAAACUGGCGAACUUGAGUACGGGAGAGGAAAGUGGAAUUCCGAGUGUAGGGGUGAAAUCCGUAGAUAUUCGGAGGAACACCAGUGGCGAAGGCGGCCUGCUGGGCCUGUUCUGACGCUAAGGCGCGAAAGCGUGGGGAGCAAACGGGAUUAGAUA
rnacentral:rRNA from 1 species